rnacentral:rRNA from 1 species
UCUGAGAGUGGGAUAGCUUCUGGAAACGGAUGGUAAUACCGCAUAACAUCAUGGAUUCGCAUGUUUCUAUGAUCAAAGAUUUAUCGCUUAGAGAUGGACUCGCGUCUGAUUAGCUAGUUGGUAAGGUAACGGCUUACCAAGGCGACGAUCAGUAGCCGGACUGAGAGGUUGAUCGGCCACAUUGGGACUGAGACACGGCCCAGACUCCUACGGGAGGCAGCAGUGGGGAAUAUUGCACAAUGGGGGAAACCCUGAUGCAGCGAUGCCGCGUGGAGGAAGAAGGUUUUCGGAUUGUAAACUCCUGUUGAAGAGGACGAUAAUGACGGUACUCUUUUAGAAAGCUCCGGCUAACUACGUGCCAGCAGCCGCGGUAAUACGUAGGGAGCGAGCGUUGUCCGGAAUUACUGGGUGUAAAGGGAGCGUAGGCGGGAUGGCAAGUCAGAUGUGAAAACUAUGGGCUCAACCCAUAGACUGCAUUUGAAACUGUUGUUCUUGAGUGAGGUAGAGGUAAGCGGAAUUCCUGGUGUAGCGGUGAGAUGCGUAGAGAUCAGGAGGAACAUCGGUGGCGAAGGCGGCUUACUGGGCCUUUACUGACGCUGAGGCUCGAAAGCGUGGGGAGCAAACAGGAUUAGAUACCCUGGUAGUCCACGCCGUAAACGAUGAUUACUAGGUGUGGGGGGACUGACCCCUUCCGUGCCGCAGUUAACACAAUAAGUAAUCCACCUGGGGAGUACGGCCGCAAGGUUGCAACUCAAAGGAAUUGACGG